CACUUCUAAGGAAGGCAGCAGGCGCGCAAAUUACCCAAUCCUGACUCAGGGAGGUAGUGACAAGAAAUAACAAUAAACCGGCUUAUGCCGGUUUAAUUGGAAUGAGUACAAUUUAAACAUCUUAACGAGGAACAAUUGGAGGGCAAGUCUGGUGCCAGCAGCCGCGGUAAUUCCAGCUCCAAUAGCGUAUACUAAAGUUGUUGCAGUUAAAAAGCUCGUAGUUGGAUUUCUGUGGGGACGGAGCGGCCGGCCGCAACACGCGGUUCGAGCUAGCGCUUUCCCUACAUCCUGCCGCGAACCGUGCUACCAUUAAUUUGGUGGCGCCGGGGAUCGGCUCGAUUACUUUGAGAAAAAUAGAGUGUUCAAAGCAGGCCACAUGCCUUGAAUAAGUUAGCAUGGAAUAAUAACUAAGGACUUCGGUUCUAUUUUGUUGGUGUUCGGGACUGAAGUAAUGAUUGAUAGGGACAGUUGGGGCGGUCUGUAUUCCAAAGCGAGAGGUGAAAUUCUUAGACCUUCGGAAGACAAACAGCUGCGAAAGCGUUCCGCAAGGAUGUUCCCUUUGAUCAAGAACGAAAGUUGGGGGAUCGAAGACGAUCAGAUACCGUCGUAGUCUCAACUAUAAACUAUACCAGCUAGGGAUCGGCCAACGUUAUUUUAUACCGACUUGGUCGGCACCUUAUGAGAAAUCAAAGCAUCUGGGUUCCGGGGGGAGUAUGGUCGCAAGGCUGAAACUUAAAGGAAUUGACGGAAGGGCACCACCAGCCGUGGAGCCUGUGGCUUAAUUUGACUCAACACGGGAAAACUUACCAGGUCCAGACAUAGUAAGGAUUGACAGAUUGAUAGCUCUUUCUUGAUUCUGUGGGUGGUGGUGCAUGGCCGUUCUUAGUUGGUGGAGUGAUUUGUCUGGUUAAUUCCGUUAACGAACGAGACCCCAGCCUGCUAAAUAGCGCGCGUGAGCUUUGCUCGCGGCGAGCUUCUUAGAGGGACUAUGAUGCGCGAUAGCACAUGGAAGUUUGGGGCAAUAACAGGUCUGUGAUGCCCUUAGAUGUUCUGGGCCGCACACGGGCUACACUGGCGCCUGCAACGAGCAUAUCAGCUGGCCCGAGAGGGUCUUGGCUAAUCUUUUGAACCGGCGCCGUGCUUGGGAUUGACCUUUGCAAUUGUUGGUCAUGCAACGAGGAAUGCCUUGUAAACGCGAGUCAUCAGCUCGCAUUGAAUACGUCCCUGCCCUUUGUACACACCGCCCGUCGCUCCUACCGAUGAAUGUUCCGAUGAAAUUUUCGGAGAGCACCUGUGAACUUGGCUCCGCCUUGCGAACGGGAGGCUCAAAGUCACUUAAAUCUGAACAUUUCGAGG
rnacentral:rRNA from 1 species